rnacentral:rRNA from 1 species
AGAGUUUGAUCCUGGCUCAGAUUGAACGCUGGCGGCAGGCCUAACACAUGCAAGUCGAACGGUAACAGGAAGCAGCUUGCUGCUUCGCUGACGAGUGGCGGACGGGUGAGUAAUGUCUGGGAAACUGCCUGAUGGAGGGGGAUAACUACUGGAAACGGUAGCUAAUACCGCAUAACGCCGCAAGACCAAAGAGGGGGACCUUCGGGCCUCUUGCCAUCGGAUGUGCCCAGAUGGGAUUAGCUAGUAGGUGGGGUAACGGCUCACCUAGGCGACGAUCCCUAGCUGGUCUGAGAGGAUGACCAGCCACACUGGAACUGAGACACGGUCCAGACUCCUACGGGAGGCAGCAGUGGGGAAUAUUGCACAAUGGGCGCAAGCCUGAU